GCCAAUGUAGCUCAACGGUAGAGCACCGGUUUUGUAAACCGGCGGUUGAGGGUUCGAUUCCCUCCGUUGGCU
rnacentral:tRNA from 1 species